UGGUGGAGUGGUCUGUCUGGUUAAUUCUGUGAACGAACGAGAUCUCUACCUGCUAAAUCAUACUGUAUAGCUUUGGUUGUUUGAAGUAUUUCUUGAGGAACCUUGUGUGCUUACCACAUGGAAGCCUGAGGCAAUAACA
rnacentral:rRNA from 1 species